GAUGAACGCUAGCUACAGGCUUAACACAUGCAAGUCGAGGGACCGGCGCCCGGGUGAGUAACACGUAUCUAACCUGCCCUUUACUCGGUGAUAGCCUUUCGAAAGAAAGAUUAAUACCCGAUAUAAAGGAUGGGGAUGCGUUCGAUUAGGUUGUUGGUGAGGUACCGGCUCACCAAGCCUUCGAUGGUUAGGGGUUCGGAGAGGAAGGUCCCCCACAGUGGAACUGAGACACGGUCCAAACUCGUACGUGAGACAGCAGUGAUGAAUAUUGGUCUAUGGGCGCUAGCCUGAACCAGCCAAGUAGCGGGAAGGAUGAAGGCUUAUGGGUCGUAAACUUCUUUUAUAUAAGAAUAUGUAUUAUAUGAAUAAGGAUCGGCUAACUCCGUGCCAGCAGCCGCGGUAAUUC
rnacentral:rRNA from 1 species